AUGCUCACAAUUCUCCAAGCCAGGCUUCAGCAAUAUGUGAACCGUGAACUUCCUGAUGUUCAAGCUGGUUUUAGAAAAGGCAGAGGAACCAGAGAUCAAAUUGCCAACAUCUGCUGGAUCAUGGAAAAAGCAAGAGAAUUCCAGAAAACCAUCUAUUUCUGCUUUAUUGACUAUGCCAAAGCCUUUGACUGUGUGGAUCACAAUAAACUGUGGGAAAUUCUGAAAGAGAUGGGAAUACCAAACCACCUGACCUGCCUGUUGAGAAAUCUGUAUGCACGUCAGGAAGCAACAAUUAGAACUAGACAUGGAACAACAGACUGGUUCCAAAUAGGAAAAGGAGUACAUGAAGGCUAUAUAUUGUCAUCUUGCUUAUUUAACUUAUAUGCAGACUACAUCAUGGGAAAUGCUGGGCUGGAAGAAGCACAAGCUGGAAUCAAGAUUGCCGGGAGAAAUAUCAGUAACCUCAGAUAUGCAGAUGACACCACCCUUAUGGCAGAAAGUGUAGAUGAACUAAAAAGCUUCUUGAUGAAAGUGAAAGAGGAGAGUGAAAAAUUUGGCUUAAAGCUCAACAUUCAGAAAAUGAAGAUCAUGACACCUGGUCCCAUCACUUCAUGGGAAAUAGAUGGGGAAACAGUGGCUGACUUUAUUUUUUGUGACUCUAAAAUCACUGCAGAUGGUGAUUGCAGCCAUGAAAUUAAAAGACACUUACUCCUUGCAAGAAAAGUUAUGACCAACCUAGAUAGCAUAUUCAAAAGCAGAGCUAUUACUUUGCCGACUAAGGUCCUUCUAGUCAAGGCUUUGGUUUUUCCAGUGAUCAUGUAUGGAUGUGAGAGUUGGACUGUGAAGAAGGCUGAGUGCCGAAGAAUUGAUGCUUUUGAAGUGUGGUGUUGGAGAAGACUCUUGAGAGUCCCUUGGACUGCAAGGAGAUCCAACCAGUCCAUUCUGAAGGAUAUCUGCCCUGGGAUUUCUUUGGAAGGAAUGAUGCUAAAGCUGAAAGUCCAGUACUUUGGCCACCUCAUGCAAAGAGGUGACUCAUUGGAAAAUACUGUGAUGCUGGGAGGGAUUGGGGGCAGGAGGAGAAGGGGACGACAGAGGAUGAGGUGUCUGGAUGGCAUCACUGACUCGAUGGACGUGAGUCUGAGUGAACUCCGGGAGUUGGUGAUGGACAGGGAGGCCUGGCUUGCUGCGAUUCAUGGGGUCGCAAAGAGUCAGACACGACUGAGCGACUGA
rnacentral:lncRNA from 1 species